ensembl:snRNA U6 U6 spliceosomal RNA
GGGCCCGCUUUGGUAGCUCAUAUGCUGAAAUUGGAAGGAUACAGACAGCAGCAUGGCCCCUGCUAAGGAUGACACGCAAAUGUGUGAAGCCUUCCAUAUUAAA